rnacentral:lncRNA from 1 species
UGAAGUGCUGUUGAGGCUGGGGCUGCGUGAUCGUCACUGGCGUCCUCCAGAGUGCCCACCGAUCAAAAAGUCGUACGAACCGCAAGCUUUGAACGUCUGUUUAUCGCACCAUCGAAAGCGGCGGCACAGAAGGCGCGAUGUGAGCUCCGGUGGGAACAGCAGCCCUUUGUCUCGUAACGGUGCCGUCCAGACUGGCCAUGAGACCAGCGAAUUUGCUGUA